GCUGGAUAUAGACCUCUCUUAAGAACAUGAUAACUCUAAUAUGGCUGGCGAUCCUAGUGCUGGUGAUCAUCCAGUAUAUGAGAAAGGUAUACUCCAGGUUUGAUGAUGCUGGUGUGAGCCAUUUCAAGCCAGCGCCUGUGGUAGGCAAUGCUGGUAUGCAGGUCACCGGGAAGAGACACGUCUCUCAAGACUUUGAUAUACUGUACCAGACCUUCUCUAAUGAUAGAUUUAUUGGCAGAUAUGAAAUGAUGCGACCGACCGUCAUCCUCCGAGACCUGGAGCUGAUCAAGAAGGUAGCGAUCAAAGACUUUGAGUACUUCAUAGACCACAGGGCUGUGGUCGAUGACACAGUCGAUCCUCUGUUUGGCAGGAACUUGUUCUCGUUGAAGGGUCAAGAAUGGAAGGAAAUGCGUUCGACCCUGAGCCCUGCGUUCACCAGCUCGAAGAUGCGCGGCAUGGUGCCCUUCAUGAUCGAUGUUAACAAACAAAUGAUCGGUGUUCUCAAGAAGAAAAUCCAAACUUCAGAAAAUAACUACGUGGACAUCGAGUGCAAGGACGUCACAACUCGAUAUGCCAACGACGUGAUCGCCUCUUGCGCCUUCGGUGUGAAAGUUGACUCCCACACUGACGAAGACAACGAGUUCUAUACCAAAGGCCGCUCUACUGCCAAUUUUGGGUUCCGAAGAAUCCUUGUGUUCCUUGGUUAUGCUUCCUUUCCUAAACUUAUGAAAAAAUUAAACAUCUCCCUGUUUUCAAACGAAACGACGCAAUUCUUCAAGAAUCUCGUACUGAGCACCAUGAAGGAGAGAGAGGACCGCAACAUCUUCAGACCUGACAUGAUCCACUUACUUAUGGAGGCAAAGAAAGGUAAGCUGACCUACGACGAGAAAACUACUGAUAAGGCUGACACAGGCUUCGCUACAGUAGAAGAGUCUGACAUCGGGAAGAAAACUGUUAAUAGAGUAUGGUCAGACACCGAUCUAGUAGCCCAAGCAACGUUGUUCUUCGUUGCUGGCUUUGAAACCAUCUCUUCCGCCAUGUCCUUCAUUCUCCACGAGCUGGCUGUGAACCCCGAUAUCCAAGAGAAGCUGUACGCUGAGAUCAUGGAGAACGAAGCUAACACUAAUGGAAAGUUCGAUUACAACUCCAUCCAGAACCUGACUUACUUGGACUGCGUUAUAUCAGAGGCUCUGAGGUUGUGGCCUCCUGCGGUUGGAUUGGACAGGAUGUGUGUUAGGGACUACAAUAUGGGAAGAGCCAACGAGAAGUCCAAGAAAGAUUUCAUUAUUCGGAAAGGUGAGGGUAUCGUCGUCCCAGUGUACUCUAUCCACCACGACCCGGAGUACUUCCCGGAGCCCUACAAGUUCGACCCUGACCGCUUCUCCGAAGAAAACAAGCACAACAUCAAACCGAUGACUUAUAUCCCCUUUCGGAGUUGGGCCUAGGAAUUGCAUUGGAUCAAGAUUCGCGCUCUGCGAGGUGAAGGUGAUGCUGUACCAGCUCGUGCAGCAGCUCGAGGUGACGGUGAGCGAUAAGACUGUGAUCCCAGCCAAGCUCGACACCAAGACCUUCAACAUGCGCAUCGAUGGUGGACAUUGGGUCAGGCUCAAAGUCAGGCAGUAAAAUAGACUUAGACAAUUUAUGGUAAUAUUUUAUUGGCAAUGUUAUAGUAAUAUUAUAGUAGUUGAUUUUAAGUAACCUCGGGCUUGAAGAAUCAUGGCAGAUAAGCAUAGGUAGUGCUCUCAGGAUUAGCAAAAUGAUGUAAGACGAUGCAGUGUGGUGAACAUGGGCAAUCAUGAGUAUAACUUAUUCAGGCCGGCAUAAUUGUGUCGACUGUUCAGGGAUAAUCAUCUGUUAUUCGAAUUUAUACUUACCAUCAGGUGCAGUGGGUACACUUUGUUGUGGCCGGAUAAAAACAUUACAUCGACGGUUGAAAAUAUUUAACUAGGUUUAAAAAAACAUUAAAAAGAACUUGUUUAAAAUAUGUAUGACACUUAGUGUCGCAAAGAAAUGUCGCUAAGACAAUUAGUCUUUCAAUCUUCGAUAUAUAUGUUAAGUACUAACUUCUGUUUCGACCGCGAAAAAAUUGGUUUUUCAACUAUGUUCCUCUCCAUUCCCGACGGUAUAGAGAUGGUACAGUGGAUGGUAUGGUAUAGUAUGGCCAUUGAUUCUGACGGUGGGUUUUAACGCAUUCAAUUUUUUGGUACAUGUAUUGUAAAUUAAUUGUACUAUACCUGUCCUCGUUCCGCAAGUGCCAGCAAUAAGUUCACAAAGUUGUAUCUCAAUUGGAUGGAAUUUCAUCGAAAUCCAUUUGAUAUUUUAAUAGUUUAUUGCGUUCAGACAGAUGCGAGGACUUUGUUUUAUAAUAUGUAUAUAAGAAUUUGUAAUUCGUAAAUAUGAUAUUAUUAUAAAUAUCCAUUUUAUUUUGUUAAAAGGUUUAAACCUCAGAAUAUGUUUUAAAGAAUCAUAAACAGUGGUAAUGAACUUGAUAUUUUCAUUAUCUCUAUUAGCAUUUUUCGUGACAUUUGUAUUGUAUUCAUAAGUAUUUAUAUACUUUUUAUUGUUUUGAAAUAGAUGUCAUUUUUCAAUACACCAAAUAUGUCCAAAAAGUUUUUAAAUUAUUGCAAAUGAAUGAAGCAUCAUAACUCUUAUUUAGACAAUAAAUUACUUGACAAUUAAGAAGAUAAUUGUAAUAAUAUAUAAGUGAUAUUCCUGGUAGUUUGAGAUAGUUGACGUGCCAAAUGUAGACUGAUAGGUCGGACUGAUGGACUGAUAGUCGGAUUUGAUUCCACACUGACACAAUGAUUAUUAUAUUAUUAUAGUGCCAUGAAUUCAUAUGUUUUUGUGUACAAUAUUUAAUUUAGUUUUUACUGUAAUUUUGCCGAGCUCUCAUUACAAAAUUAUGUAUCCAUGCCUAUUGACAAUAUGAGUCUAAAUAAAUAUCAUUGAAAUGUA